rnacentral:rRNA from 1 species
GUAUCCUGGCUCAGGAUGAACGCUAGCGGCAGGCUUAACACAUGCAAGUCGAGGGGCAGCAUAAUGGAUAGCAAUAUCUAUGGUGGCGACCGGCGCACGGGUGCGUAACGCGUAUGCAACCUACCUUUAACAGGGGGAUAACACUGAGAAAUUGGUACUAAUACCCCAUAAUAUCAUAGAAGGCAUCUUUUAUGGUUGAAAAUUCCGAUGGUUAGAGAUGGGCAGUGCGUUGUAUUAG